rnacentral:rRNA from 1 species
UACGUAGGGGGCAAGCGUUGUUCGGAAUUACUGGGCGUAAAGGGCGCGUAGGCGGCACGGCAAGUCGGGAGUGAAAGCCCGGGGCUCAACCCCGGAGGGUCUCUCGAGACUGCCGAGCUAGAGUGCGGAAGAGGCAACCGGAAUUCCCAGUGUAGCGGUGAAAUGCGUAGAUAUUGGGAAGAACACCGGUGGCGAAGGCGGCUAUCUGGACCGACAUUGACGCUGAGGCGCGAAAGCGUGGGGAGCAAACAGG